CGCCUGUUUAUCAAAAACAUGUCCUUUAGGUUUUAUUAAAGGUCUAACCUGCCCAAUGAUUUUUUUGAAUGGCCGCGGUAUUUUGACCGUGCAAAGGUAGCAUAAUCACUUGUCUUUUAAUUGAGGACUAGAAUGAACGGUUGGACGAGGGAUUCACUUUCUUUAAUAUAAAUUGUUGAACUUAAUUUUUUAGUUAAAAAGCUAAAAUUAUUUUAUAGGACGAGAAGACCCUAUAGAACUUUACCUAUUUAUUCAACCACUUAAUUUUUUUAUUCCUUAAGUGGUUGAAUAAACUAAGUUAUGUUGGGGUGACAUGGGAAUUUAAUUAACUUCCUUUUAUAUAAAUUCAAAAAUUAUUGUUUUAUUGAUCCAAAAGUUUUGAUUAUAAGUUUAAGUUACCUUAGGGAUAACAGCGUAAUUUCUUCGGAGAGAUCAUAUCGAUGAAGAAGUUUGCGACCUCGAUGUUGGAUUAAAAUAAGUAGUGGGAGUAGAAGUUCACUUACUAGGUCUGUUCGACCUUUAAUUUUUUACAUGAUCUGAGUUCAAACCGGAG
rnacentral:rRNA from 1 species